rnacentral:lncRNA from 1 species
GCAGUAAGCCAUAUAAACCUUUUCUGCCAACUUCUUAUUCACCCCAAGAGGGCUACUUAAAGGAGGGUGAAGACAUGCUAAGAUGAUGCCAACAUCAGGGACACUCAAAAAGAGAAGCUUUUCCAGCCCUUUUAUCAAGUGAUUCAGAAAGAGUGGAAGUGAGAGAGGCCUUUGGAUCGUGUUAUUGUUUGUAUCGACAAAAAACCGAGGCUUGGAGACGCUGGAUCCUUCAGCCAGCAGUGAGCAUUCCUCAUUUCAAG